CGAUGGUGGGUUCUUUUUAUAACAGCUUUGUUCGCUCAAGCGGUCCAAAGUUCGCUCAAGCGAACUCUUUCUUUAACGUGAAGGAAGAACUGGGAACCGCCUUUCAACCGCUCAAGCGACCAAAUAUUCGCUUGAGCCAACUUCAGAGCCAAACACUUAAAACCUUCUGUUGCUAGAUGGCUUGAGCAAACUUCUGAGCCAAGCAUUCAAUACCUUCUGUUGCAAGAUGGCUUGAGCAAACUUCUGAGCCAAGCACUAUUCUUUGAUGCUUUCUUAUGAUUCAAGCCUCUUUGAAGCAAAUCUUCAUUCCCAA
rnacentral:lncRNA from 1 species